rnacentral:rRNA from 1 species
UCUUGAUCUCAGAUCAGGCAAGAUGACCCGCUGAACUUAAGCAUAUCAGUAAGCGGAGGAAAAGAAACUAACCAGGAUUCCCUUAGUAACGGCGAGUGAAGCGGGAACAGCCCAAUAUUAAAAGCAAGUCGACCCCCGGCGGUUGGUCUUGCGUUGUUAAUAACAAGAGUCAUCCACUCUAGUGUCGGACCUUUCGGUUAAAGUCUCUUGGAACAGAGCAUCAGAGAGGGUGAUAAUCCCGUGAUUGACCGAACGACAGACCAGUCCGGCGCAACUCUAACGAGGGAUGGCUUAUGGAGUCGGAAUGUUUGGGAUUGCAUUUCAAAAACGGGUGGUAGACUCCAUCCAAGGCUAAAUACUGGCGAGAGACCGAUAGCGAACAAGUACCGUGAGGGAAAGUUGAAAAGCACUCUGAAGAGAGAGUCAAACAGUACGUGAAAUUGCUAGCAGGGAAACGUUGGACAUCAGUACACGGCGUUUAAUGUGUUGAUGCUCAGUCGGGCGCGGGUAGGCAGUCGGCCAGGGUAGGGGUAACACCUUUGGGGAUCGCGGCUU